UCCCUGCCUCCCCCAGGCAGCUUUGUCAUCCUGCCACGUGGAGGGACAGCCUCACUCAUUGCUCCACUGGCGUAUGCCAGCCAAGGCCCAAUGCUUUUUUCUCAAGGCUAGUGCAACAAGAGCAGCCCAAUUCAUUUUGACAGGGUGGUUAAGUAAGUGGCACAGAUUUCACAUGUUGGCCUUAGCCUGCCUAAUCUUAGAGUUAUUCCACAGCUAGUGACUGGCAAGAAGAUUCAACAUCGUGCAGCAGCCAUAGUUAGUACACUUCAAAGCACGUGCUGCUAAACUAAGUGUUUUGCUUGUCUGUUUUACACUACUUGGAUCAAAACUUGAAAUGGUUCGUGCACAUGCCAGGCUAUAAAGACAGUCUGAGAGCAAAGGUGGUCUUCUGCAAAAUCUUUAGUAUAUUUAUAUACCUGGACACUCUAGUUUUCAGUGGUAAUUAAUUUUCUAUUUUUCUCUGAAAUGUAUUAUUUUAAACAUAAUAUGAGGGGAAAACAAAAACAAACAAAAAAAACCUUCCUUUCCUCAUAGUAGUACCUUACCCCUACUUUUUGAUAUACUUGAAAAAAAAGUUGUUAGCAGAGUUUCCUUAAUAUUUAAGCUGAAUGUCAAGAUUUUAGUAGCUUAGUAAAUACCUAUUAUUUAGCCUGUCUCGUGCUAAUGUGGUAUUUGUCCAGAUAGCGACCAGUAAUUAACCUUAAUAGGCUUGACCAACCUCACCUGGUGCCUCUACCCCACACCAAUGGGCCCAGGAGCCCAUUUAAGCCUUCCUGGUGGACAUUAUUCCCUUUCCUGAGCUGUGUUGGGGGCCUACCAGCUCACAGCUUGGCUAUGGACCCUGUUGAUCCUAGCCCACAGACUGAUUUCUCAACUUGACCUCACCAUGGCUUUAUGACCUGGGUUCCUGGCUGGACCUAGCCACCAUCUCCAGGACUGCCUACUGUGCUCAGAGCAGAGUAAAUGUUGUGUCGAAGUCAACUGAAAAACUUUCAUGGUUUGGCUGCGAGCUUUGCCAAUGACCCCACUUGUCCAUGAAAACACUGUGAACCUUGAACACCGAGCUGCUUCUCUGCACCAGGGGCUCCAAACUUGGAAGCUAGCAAGGUUAAUGACAAUAUGGAACGAGUACUCUAAAGAGAGCUGGAAAGCAACGUGAAGUCUGGACUGGAAAACAAUAACCCCCACACAGCACAAUCCUGCAAACCUGAAGUAAAAUUCACCGAGGAGUUGUCUUAUGAAUGAGAGGAAAGAAACAGCACCCCGUGGCCUCACUCCUCAGGACGAGUACUGGAGGCAAGCAUUGGAUGGUAACCAUCAAGCAGGUUGAGAGCCAACCUCACGCAGGUUGAGGAAGAGGAGCAGGUUUUCCUCUCCCAUAGCGAGGGAAGGGGUCCUCCAGGCUCUCUGCAGCCACCACCUCGAA
rnacentral:lncRNA from 1 species